AUGUGGGCUAUGUUUCACAAAAUUGAUGCCAUUGUAUUCAUAUUCAAAAUUAGUCAUGAUUGUUAUUUGGUACUCCGCCAAGGCGACCCUUUGUCGCUGAUGCUCUUUGUGAUUUUCAUUGACGUCCUGAACACUUUGAUUCAGCGGGUAGUCAAAGACGGGUUCCUGCAGUGCCUCACCAACCAUCAUAUUGCCUUGAGCGUUUCCCUCUUUGCCAAUGACAUUGUCAUCUUCUGUCACCUAGACAAUCAGGAUCAUGGCACGAUACAUGAGCUGCUUCGUUUAUUUCUCGAUGUGCUCCACUGCACCGACCCAAUGCCAGCCUGCGGCAAUGAGGCCAUCGGUGACGGCCUGUCCUGCCCCAUAACCAAUUUCCCCAUCCCAUAUCUAGGGCUGCCGCUGUCAGUUCGGCAAAUUCCAUCAUCCACUCUCCAAGCGCUGGUUGAUCGGAUCGCAGGGAAGUUCACUACCUGGCGGGCAGGAUGUCGAAAAGGGGUAAAGCUUGUGCUGGUCUGA
rnacentral:rRNA from 1 species